CAGUAGCCACGGGAAUACGUAGGGUGCAAGCGUUGUCCGGAAUUAUUGGGCGUAAAGAGCUCGUAGGCGGUUUGUCGCGUCUGCUGUGAAAUCCCGAGGCUCAACCUCGGGCUUGCAGUGGGUACGGGCAGACUAGAGUGCGGUAGGGGAGAUUGGAAUUCCUGGUGUAGCGGUGGAAUGCGCAGAUAUCAGGAGGAACACCGAUGGCGAAGGCAGAUCUCUGGGCCGUAACUGACGCUGAGGAGCGAAAGCGUGGGGAGCGAACAGGAUUAGAUACCCCGGUAGUCCCUGUCUCUUAUAC
rnacentral:rRNA from 1 species